rnacentral:snRNA from 1 species
GUGCUCUGUUUAGCAGCACAUGUAUUAAAAAUGGAACACGACGGAGUACCUUAGCAUGGGCCCUUGCAAGGAUGACCUGCAAAUUCAUGAAGCGUUCCAUGUUUUU